rnacentral:rRNA from 1 species
UACGGAGGGUGCAAACGUUGCUCGGAAUCAUUGGGCGUAAAGCGCACGUAGGCGGUCCGUUAAGUCGGGAGUGAAAGCCCCAGGCUCAACUUGGGAAGUGCUUUCGAAACUGCAUAGCUAGAGUCCUGGAGAGGAAGGUGGAAUGCUUGGUGUAGAGGUGAAAUUCGUAGAUAUCAAGCGGAACACCGGUGGCGAAGGCGGCCUUCUGGACAGUGACUGACGCUGAGACGCGAAAGCGUGGGGAGCAAACAGG